rnacentral:lncRNA from 1 species
AAAUUUUCUUUCAGCAAACCAAAGAUAAGCUAUUUGAAUAUUUUUUCUAGUCAGAUUAGGGGGCUGGCUUACUUAGGGGGAGAUGAAUAGGGUCUCCUCAUCCUAUCUACGGUGACCUGAAGUGAAGUGCCGCACCUCAACUCCUGUAAGAGUUUGUAAGCGUUCUGUUAUCUCUUUUCUGAGCAGAAUUAAGUUCUAAAGUUAGUUGUAAGUGUAAAAGUUGCUCUGGGAAAGGCCACAAGUUGUGACUCUUCUCCUUUGCUAAGGUAGUCAUCAGUAAAAACAACAGCAUUUAUUGAAUACUCACUCUUGCCAGGUACAGUAGAAUGGGCAUGGCCUCUUUCUUCAAAGACCAUUCCCCAUGAAGACAGCUUCAACAUUGCUUCUAUUUUCCAGCAAUUGGAUUCUGGAAUUGGAUUGAUACUGAGACAUGACUGUGGUUUAUCACUAAUAUGAAAGAUUCCAUCGAUCUUUGGAGAUGGGAGAUAAGUACUUGUAAUUGUUAGGCUCCAGGAUGCUCUAUGCGGGUAAAGGAAAUGCCGUUUGUAGAUUUAUGCACAGACCAAGGACCAUGGCUCUGAAAUAGGAGGAAAGGGGUAGGGUACAACCUUUAAAAGACUGACAAAGCCAUAAACAGUUCAUAAACUGGUUAGAACCAAUUAGGCCCAGGAUGCUGGAAGAUUUGACUUUCAGCAGACCUUGAGCCUCAUUAUACCCUCAUUGUAAUGCAUCAACAUGCUAAAAGGCAUGCCCAUAGGCGCCCUGACAGUUCUGAGGCUGAGCCAAAAGUGAGCUGUGGCCCAGUCCUGGAAAUCUCCGCCUCUUCCCCAAAAUAGUUGGACUAAUUCUUUCACUCAUUAGCUAUGAAAUUACCCAGCCUGUAAAAAUUAACUACAUCAUAUUUUGAGGCCUCUUGCCUUCUGAGACUGCCCACAUUGUGUCUGUGGAGUUUGUAUCUCUCUCAGUAAAUCUGCUUCUUACCUAUCACUUUGCUUCGUGUUGAAGUCCUUCUGUGCUGAGGCAUAAAGAACUUGAGCGACAUUCAGUCCUGAGACCAUGUGUGCAAUUUCAGCUGAGAGAUAAUGGGUUUGAGUUCCUGCUAAACCAGGGAUUGUGGGUUCAAGUCCCAUUUAAAGCACAACUGUGUUUGAGUCUCAAUCCGAGGUGUGUGGUUUCAGUUCUUAUGUCCUGUUUUGCAGUAUGUUUUUUGAGGAUGAAAGUAGUUUAAAGGUUUCUUCCCACUUUUCUGUAAGUUUCAUGGGAGCAGGAAUUUUCUCUCUCUCACACUUUAUUUAUUUAUUCUUUUUUUUUUUUUUUUUAGUGCCAUACCCAUAGCAUGUGGAAGUUUCCAGGCCAAGCGUUGAAUUGGAACUGCAGCUGCGGGGCUAUGCCACAGCCACAACAACACAGGAUCUGCGCUGCAUUUGUGACCUACACCACAGCUCAUGGCAAGGCCGGAUCCUUAACACACUGAUCGAGGCCAAGGACUGAAGUCUUAUCCUCAUGGAUACUAGUUGGAUACCGUCCUCAUGGGUACCACUGAGCCACGAUGGGAACUCCUCUCUUGCACUUUAAAUAGUGCUUUGUUGAAGUUCCCGUUGUGGCUCAGGUGGUUAUGAACCCAACUAGUAUCCAUGAGGAUGUGGAUUUGAUCCCUGGCUUUGCUCAGUGGGUUAAGGAUCCAGCAUUGCUGUAAGCUGUGGUGUAGGUUGCAGAUGCCUGUCAGAUCCCACGUUGCUGUGACUGUGGCUGUGGUGUAGGCUGGCAGCUGCAGCUCUGAUUCAACCCUUGGCCUGGGAACCUCCAUAUGGUGCAGGUGCAGCCUUUAGGGCCUUUUUAGAAGCAAAAAAAACCAAAACAGUGCUGUGUUCAUAGUGGUAAAGUAUUAAAAUGACACAAAUUAUAGUAAGGAAGAUGCAUGUACAUGUAUAACUAAAACACUUUGUUGUACAGCAGAAAUUAUCAAAACAUUGCUAGUCAACUGUACUUCAAUAAAAUGUUUAAAAAUGAUUAAAAAUGUAUAGUAAGGAAGACUUUACUGUAAAGGGAGGGAGAAGAGAGCACUAUUGUGAUAGGUAUAGGACCGCUGGGGUAGAAUUUUGCAGUGAGAGAGAAAGAUUGGGCUCAACUCCUAAUAUAGCAUGGACAAGUGGACAUUCAAAGCCAAGGAGCAGGGUGGAAGUCAGUGGGUAGAAAAUUACUAUGAAAAAUUGGGUUGUGAUGAUUGUUGUACAACUAUGAAUGUAAUAAAAUUCAUUGAGUAAUAAAAAAUAAAAAAAUUACUACAAAAAAUCAUCGGGGGUAAAGGGAGAUGCUGGCUUAAAUGACCUAAUAGGAUUCUUGCAGAAGGCAGGAUGAUCAGACAUCAUCUGAGGGAUGGUAGAGGAUGAGGAACCUGAUUAAAUAUCAAGGGUAUUAGGAUAUGGAGGAUGGGAGAUUUCGGUUAAAUUGAUUUACCAGGAUUUUUGUUUAAACUGGACAAUGCAGAGAUGAUAUGGAAGUUCAAAAGUCAGGCCUAGUUGAAAAAGAGUUCAAGGAAAUGUGAAUAGAAUUUGGUCAACAAGAUCUUUUUUUUGGUUUUUUGUUUUUUGUUUGUUUUGUUUUGUUUUUUCCAAAGAAAGCAACCAAAUUCAACCAUGUAGAAUGAAUGAAUAAAUUCCUUGUGUAAGAUAUUCAGGUAUUUAUCCAUUUGUUCACUUCACAAAUACGCAAGUGAAAUAUUUAUAUAGGUAUUUUCUUAGGGACUUGGAGUGGGGGGAGUAAACAACACUCAGAUUCAGUCCCUGCCCUCAUGGAACUUACAUUCUAGUUGGUAAAAAAGUAAGUAAAAUAUAUAUUACAUAUGAUAGGGAUCAAUGCUAAGGAGAAGAAAAAGCAAGAAAAUAGGGAAGGUUGGAGGAAAGAUACAGUAUUGCAAUUUUGGAUACAGUGGCCAGAGGAGACAUUUAAGUAAAGCCCUGGAGGAAGUGAGGGAAGGAAGGAUCUACAAGAUAUCUGGGGAAAGGGCAUUCCUGUUCAAGCAGAAGGAACAGCAGGCAUAUAGUUCCUGUGGCAGGAAGGUAUCAAGGAAUGUGCCAAGGGCAGAAAGACAAAGCAAGGUAGGACACACAGAGGCUUGUGUUCAUUGUACAGACUCUGCCCAGGAUGAGAUAGGAAGACACAGAAAGAUUCUGAGCAGGGAAGUAACGUGAUGGGAUGGACAUUUUCAAAGGGUACUCUUGCUGCGUUGAGAAGGGAUCGAAGAACAGUAACAGCGGAAGUUAGGAGGUUAUUGCAACAAUCUAGGCAAGAGAUGACCAGGGUGUUAUUGGUGCCAGAUGUUUAGCAAUGGCUGAAUUCUGGAUUGAUUUUGAAGAUAACACAGAAUGUAAUGGCUUAUGAAUCUGUUGUGAGGUGUGAAAGAAAGAAGUGAAGGAUGAGAACCAACAUGGGGAAACAUUCAUACAGUUGGUGUGGGUUGUGUCUGUGAUCACAAUGUGUUGCUUUGAAACACUGUUCACAUGUGUAAAAGAAAAAUUCCCUGAAAAGUAAUGAAAAGUAGCAUGCCCUAACCAGUUUCUUGGCUUGUGCACGUGCAUGCUUAUUUGGUAUUUACUGCACUGGAUUAUCUGCAAGUUGAAUGUCAAAUCUAGCAGACUUUGGGCUCUUAAUGGGGUUUGUGGCUUUUGUCUUUAUUUCUCUAUUUCCUAGCAAAGUACCUGGCCAGAGUAGACACUGAAUAUAUAUUUGCUCAGUGAGUAAAUUUUUCUGAAUGUAUUAUGUUCCCAAGCAUUUUCUAUAUGAGUUUAUUUUAAAAUCUUUUUGUUUACAAAACACAAAGGUUUCUUUUUCUAUUAAAAUAUGUACACAUUGCAAAUGAUGCUAGGAUUUUGCUCAGAAACAUCUGCUCUUGUGCUUGUGCCUUUUCUGUACAUGUAAUUCAAUUAAAAUUUCUUUAGAUUCCCAUUGAACUUGUAUUAUUAAUGUCACCUAUCAGUGAUAAAUUGUGGAUUUGAGAGUUUAUUUUGUAACAAGUUUGUUUCUCUUAACCGAGCACUUUCAUUGUUCUAAGAAGUUUGUAAAGGGCAAAAUGGCCCUGAUUACUCUCAGACUCCCGCUGCCCCACCGCUCCAGCCCCUCCAGCUCUCUACAGUCAUGAACUCAUCCUUUUGUUGUUGCCAUCACAAACCACUCACUUGUUCAUCCUGAACUCCACUUUCUCAUUUCCAUCCAUUCAUGUCAUUUAACACCUAUCUACUCUUUUUUUUUGCCACACCCAUGGCAUGUAGAAGCUCCAGGCUAGGGAUCCAACUGAGCCCCAGCAGUGACAGCACAGAAUCCUUAUCUGCUAGAUCACCAGAGAAGUCCUAGCACCUAUCUACUCUUUUUAUUUUUAUUUUUUAAGUUUUAUUGGAGUAUAGUUGACUUACAAAGUUCUGUUAGUUUCAGGUGUACAGCAAAGUGAAUCAGUUAUACAAAUACAUAUAUUCGUUCCUUUUCAGAUUCUUUCCCCAUAAAGGUCACUGUAGAGUAGUGAAUGGAUUUUCCUGUGCUGCAGUAAGCCCUUGUUCCUCAUUCAUUUCAUAUACAAGAGUGUGUGUAUGUCCAUCCCAACCUCCUAAUUUAUGUCUCCCCACAGUGUUUCUUCCCCUUCUGUAACCAUAUGUUUGAGGUUUUCGAGUCUGUUUCUGUUCUAUUCUGAAUAAGUUCACUUGUAUCAUUUUUAUUGCAUUCCACAUAUUAGUGAUCUCCUAUGAUAUUUGUCUUUAUCUGACUUCACCUAAUAUGAUAAUUUCUAGGUCUAUCCAUAUUACUGCAAAGGGCAUUAUUUCAUUCUUUUUUUAUGGCUGAGUGACAUUCUGUGUAAGUGGCUUCUCAGCGACCUGUUGAAUCCAACUUGGUGGCUGGUUAUCAGAGUUAUAUCAGCUUUGAAAAACUAUAAAGUUAAAUAAAUCUUUCUGGAUCUCUUUCAUUUCCCACUUGUCCCAUAACACCUGACAAUGGAAAGGCGGUGGGGAUGUUUCCCUCACUUUCUUUCCAUCCCCAGCAAUUGUUAUGCAGGUCUUCUACUGAGGGAACCCAACCCUGUCCAGCAGACAAGUUUGUCCAUAAAUAUUCUUAAAUUUUUUGAAGCAUUUUUUACCCAGGAAAUGUGUGGAGUAUUUAUUUUUUGUUAUUUUUAAUUCUCUUUUUUUAGGCCUGUACCUGUGGCAUAUAGAAUUUCCUAGACUAGGGGUCAAAUUGGAGCUGCAGCUCCUGCCUACACCACAGCCAUGAGAUCCAGGCCACAUCUUCAAACUAUACUGCAGCUUGUAGCAACGCCGGAUUGUUAACCUACUGAGUGAGGCCAGGGAUUGAACCCUUAUCCUCAUGGAUACCAGUUGGGUUCUUAACCCACUGAGCCACAACGGGAGCUCCCUAUGUGGAGUAUUUAAAAAACAGGUCACUCUGAGCUGACAUAUUUAUAAAUCUUUACAUGCGUUAUCUUAAUCUAAACAACAUCAGCUGUACUGUAAAGAAUAUCAGAAUAUCACAUUUAUUUAUCUCAGAAGGCUAAAUAAGAGAGGUGCCCCAAAUCAUGCAGCAUGUAGAAGAUUCAGCUUUGUUCUAAGAACAGUUGUGGCAUCAACAGUCUCAGGCGGACCUGUAGAUACUGUGUAUUUAAGGGUAAAAUAUAUGCUCACCAAGCCUGGCAUCCCUCCCCAUGUACAGCUUCUUCUUCUUUUUUUUUUUUUUUACCUUUAGGACCACACCUGAGACUCCAUGUACAGCUUCUUUAUUUGCCUUUGUGUCAUCUCUUUUUUGUUUUGGUUUUUUUUUGUUGUUGUUAUUGUUUUGUUGAGCACUUACUCUGUGCCAGACAUUGUGCUGGAACCAGCGAUACGGUCCUGAAAAAAACUAGUAAAUUUCUUGCUUUCACUGAGCUUGUGCAAUUUCAUUUAGGAGGGGGGAAGACAAUUAAAAACCAAAGAAUAUCUAGUAGUGCUAAAAGUUAAGGACAAAAUAAAGCAGAGAAUGGAUCUAGAGAGUACUGGGAAGGACAGGAUUGAGGGUGGGAGAAGCUGUUUUAAAUAAGAUGGCCAAGGAAGACUCCAUUUUGAAGACUAUUACACAGAGACCAGAAAGAGGGUGAGGAAACCAGCCAUGCUGCUCUUUGAGGGAAAAAACUUCAAGGCAGAGGGAACAGCAUGUGCAAAGGCCCUGAGGAUGGACUGUAUUUAGUGGUCUUGGUUGGUUAGUUGUUUUUGUUUUUCUUUUCUCUUCUUUUCUUUUCUUUUCUUUUUUUUCAGGAAAGCAGCUUCUUCUGACAGUUUCAAAGGAAACAUUUGGUAUUUCAGUAGGUUAGUCCCAUGCAGUUACUACACACAUUCCACCUUCUUUUGACUUCAGAAAGGUUUAAAUGGACAUCAAAAUUACAAAUCCUCUUUCAACUGAAAUAUAUUUGUAAAUGAAGUAUAUCGUCACAUUAGUAACUAUGAAGAUUUGCCAGAAGAGAGCCUAUUAGCUUUAUGAUACAGAAUUCAGCCCAUCUCUCAAAACCAGGGCCAAGAGAAAACAAACAGAGUUGCCAUAAAGGCUGAAAAGCAUAAGGUAAAAAAUGUGAGUCAGACCCUUCCCAUUGCUCAUGGGGAGAGUAGAUGAGCUAGGACUGUCUAGUCUAGAUAUUUUGUUUAAAAAUCAACCUUCCUUCCAAGAGAUUGGCAAUUUUAUUAGGGCUCGUUUGGCGUCAAGGAACAGAGAUUCCCUUGAGCUUAUUUAAGCAAAGAAGAUUUUAUCAUAAGGAUUUACAAGGUUUGAUGCAAAUCUUGAUCCAAGACUAGGAGUCACCACAGGAACCUGGGGCCAAGAGCUAUGUGCCUCCAAUUUGGGGAUCCUGCUCUGUCCGACUCUCUUUUCUCACUGGCUUCCUUUGCCUACUCCUCUAAUAAUUUUGACUUACCAAUGGCUUUGGGGUUUUAAAAUUUCUUUUUUUCUUUUUAGGGCCACACCCACAGCAUAUGGAGGUUCCCAGGCUAGGGGUCCAAUUGGAGCUGUAGCUGCUGGCCUACACCAGAGCCACAGCAACGCUUCAUCUGAGCCCCACCUACGACCUACACCAGGGCUCACUGCAACAUCAGAUACUUAACCCACCGAACAAGGCCAGGGAUUGAACCUGCAUCCUCUUGGAUACUAGUGUGGUUCAUUAUUGCUGAGCCACAACGGGAAAUCCCAAUUGCUUUUCUUUUAAAAAUUUUUUUAUUUUACUUUUUAAAAAUUAAAGUAUAAUUGAUUUACAAUAUUGUGCCAGUUUCUGCUACACCUCAAAGUGACCCAAUCAUACAUAUAUAUAUAUACACAUUUGCUUUCUCAUAUUAUCUUCCUUCAUGGUCUAUCCCAAGAGCCCCAGCACGUGGAAAUUCUGGGACUAGAGAUCGACCCUGAGUCACAGCAGUGACAAUGCCAAAUCCUUAACCACUAGGCCACCAGGGAACUCCAUUUAGUUUUACUUUUUAAUUUUCCAAACCAGAUGACUCCUUGGGAGGCAUAUUAAAGGAUUUAAAAUUUAGAUCACAAAAUAAAUCACUCGUUCUCAAUAAGUAAUGCAACACCACGUAUUAUUCAGUUCAAAUACAUUGACCAUGGAUGUGUGUGGCUGGGAAUGUUUUAUGAUUUAAGCUUUGCAAUGCUGUUGUCCUUGGCUAGAACCAGAGUAAUUUAUAUUUUGUAGUGGGCACACUAUUGCAAAGCAGAACUUUUUAUAUAGUUCUGUAACUCCAAUUUCUACUAGGACCCCUAUUUGACCAAGGUAGUAGAAACAGAGUUCUUCUCUUUCCUGUGAUUAUGUCUAAGCUCUAGGGGCUUUUGUCAUACUAGGAAGUUGGGGUGUGUCCUCUAUGUUACCUGCCAAGGGUCCACAAAGCCAUCCCUCUCCCAUCUGCCUGGUCCCUUCAGGUUGUGUAGCUGGGUCCACACUGCUGGGAAUGGCAUCAAGGCUACUCUUCUGCUGCUUCCAUUGCUGUGCCUGGGCUAAGGAAGUAACUGUGUCUCUCUGAAGCCACAUCUGCCUAACCUCCUCCUAUGCAGUCAUUUCCUCUCUGGGGUUUUGCAAUUUUCACCAUGCAGGCGGACACAAGCCUAUUUGCACUCAGACGCUCAGGUUUUAGUGUGUUUCCUUCUGCAUUGUCCACUGGACAGCAUUCAGCCCCCUUUACCCAGUUUUCACCUGUGUCUCAACCUUCAUCACUUUCUCCCCACCUCUCUUUUCUCCACUCCAGUCUACCUGCCCUCCAUCAAGGUGUCUUUUGUUUUAGCCUGGGAUAGAUGAAGAUGGGGAGGGGGUGAAGAGAAAA